GUGACACCAUUGAAGUAACAAGAGAAAAGAUUAUUUUAAUCAUGAGCAGAGUUUCAGCCAUUCAAUAAAGACACAGUGAGCAUCAGCAAUGAAGGAAGCCCUAAACCAGGCACUGGAGUUAUAACGCUAGACUGUGAAAAGCGGAAAUGCACCCAUCCCAUCUGAACAGGAUAUGGCCAGACACUAGGCACAGAACAAAGAGCAAAUGAAACAGCAACUGUGGAAUAACACUGUGUUCCCAAAGAAAACAUAACUGCCAUAGAUCACAGAAUGAAAGCCCUAGAGCACGCAGCAGAGAAGUCCAGCAACUGGAGUCAACAUUUACAGAAAACCCUUUAGGAAGACUGUGGCACUACCAACUGAUCAACAUCCAGGCUGAGAAGGGUCCAUCACCUGCACAUAAAUAUUUGGACAGUGGCGACAACUUGAAGACAGCUAGCUGCAGAGUGAUAUUCCAGAAUAAGAGUUUUGAAGCUCCAGAUGG